rnacentral:rRNA from 1 species
GAGUUUGAUCUUGGCUCAGAUUGAACGCUGGCGGCAGGCCUAACACAUGCAAGUCGAGCGGUAGAGAGAAGCUUGCUUCUCUUGAGAGCGGCGGACGGGUGAGUAAUGCCUAGGAAUCUGCCUGGUAGUGGGGGAUAACGCUCGGAAACGGACGCUAAUACCGCAUACGUCCUACGGGAGAAAGCAGGGGACCUUCGGGCCUUGCGCUAUCAGAUGAGCCUAGGUCGGAUUAGCUAGUUGGUGAGGUAAUGGCUCACCAAGGCGACGAUCCGUAACUGGUCUGAGAGGAUGAUCAGUCACACUGGAACUGAGACACGGUCCAGACUCCUACGGGAGGCAGCAGUGGGGGAAUAUUGGACAAUGGGCGAAAGCCUGAUCCAGCCAUGCCGCGUGUGUGAAGAAGGUACUUCGGAUUGUAAAGCACUUUAAGUUGGGAGGAAGGGCAGUAAAUUAAUACUUUGCUGUUUUGACGUUUACGACAGAAUAAGCACCGG